rnacentral:rRNA from 1 species
ACCAGACGAUGCGGUUACCGCGGCUGCUGGCACGGAGUUAGCCGGUGCUUCUUCUGUGAGUGAUGUCCUUCCUGCCGGCUAUUAACCCGCAGGCCUUCUUCCUCACUGAAAGUGCUUUACAACCCGAAGGCCUUCUUCACACACGCGGCAUGGCUGGAUCAGGGUUGCCCCCAUUGUCCAAUAUUCCCCACUGCUGCCUCCCGUAGGAGUCUGGGCCGUGUCUCAGUCCCAGUGUGGCUGAUCAUCCUCUCAGACCAGCUACGGAUCGUCGCCUUGGUGAGCCGUUACCUCACCAACCAGCUAAUCCGACAUAGGCUCAUCCGAUAGCGCGAGGCCCGAAGGUCCCCCGCUUUCCCCCGUAGGGCGUAUGCGGUAUUAGCCUGGGUUUCCCCAGGUUAUCCCCCACUACCGGGCAGAUUCCUAUGCAUUACUCACCCGUCCGCCGCUCGCCACCAGGGAGCAAGCUCCCCGUGCUGCCGCUCGACUUGCAUGUGUUAGGCCUGCCG